UACGUAGGGUGCGAGCGUUGUCCGGAAUUAUUGGGCGUAAAGGGCUCGUAGGCGGUCUGUUGCGUCAGGAGUGAAAACUCGGGGCUUAACCCCGAGCCUGCUUCUGAUACGGGCAGACUAGAGGUAUGCAGGGGAGAACGGAAUUCCUGGUGUAGCGGUGAAAUGCGCAGAUAUCAGGAGGAACACCGGUGGCGAAGGCAGCUCUCUGGGACGGUACUGACGCUGAGACGCGAAAGCGUGGGGAGCGAACAGG
rnacentral:rRNA from 1 species